ensembl:miRNA mir7a-1 microRNA 7a-1
UGUGGAAGACUAGUGAUUUUGUUGUUGUUUCUUCUGCUUUCUGACAACAAGUCACAGUCUACCUCAGCGAGCGGGCCCU